GGGAGAAGAAGAGGGGAAGGACAACCGGAAAAGCCCGGGAGUGAGUGACUGUCGCCCGGAAAUGCCUGUGUGCGCAUAGCCGGCCGCCCCGCUGAGUGAGAGUAAGGGUGUGUUGGCUCUGUUUCCGCCUUCCUCUUGCUCUGUAGCUGCAUCCUGCGAGCGGACGGGAGCCGGAGUCGCUUCGCGGCCGAGGCGGAGGCCCAAGGACCGUGCCUUUUGUUCCAGCAUCGCUGUGGUGGCCGACCGCACGGAAAAAUUAUCCUACACUCAUCAGCAUUCUCCUCUUGAAUUUGUCAUCCACCUCGAAGAUCUACAACGCCUUGUAGCAGUAAGAAGUCACCCAGCUCUCAGUGAUCCAGUGAAACUGUUGCUGGAGUGACGAGCUGGAAAAUUCGAGUGCUGAGGACGAAACCCAGAAUGAGCAGACGGAAACAGAAGCAUAGUUCAGAGGCUGAAUAGAGGAUUCCUAGAGGUACAACCACAGCCAAGGGGCAGUUUGAAAACUGUAUCUUUCUGUUUACUGUCCAAGGGUGACAGACAUACCCCUAUUAUAAAGUGUAUCUGCUUUUUCCUGGAGACCACUAAAAUCAUACAGGAAUGUGUAUUCACUAAAUAGUAAAGUUGAAACUUUGCAUUCAUUUUCAGCAUUGAAAUAAAAUCAGUUCACAGUAAGACUACAUUUAAAGAGAUACAUAAAUGUUAUGCGAAAUAUCUUUGAAGAUAAUCAGUGUGAUUGUUGUUAUUGAAUGAGAACUCACUCAUUUUUCUGUCCUUGGAGUUAAAGAUGUAACUACAAAAGCAGGACCAAACACCAACCAGUUUCUAAGAUUUGAUUUCCUUACUGUCCAGGUGAAAAUGUUGCUUUGCAAUGUAGUUGAAAAGGGAGUAAAAUUUGCAUUGUCUUUUUGGAGAGAUGAAUAUUCUGUCUUCACUUUUACCCCAAAAUGAGUUCUGGUCAUCAAAAUAAGUUACUAUUAAAUCCUCCAUCUGGAUACAUUUCUUUCAGAUUUUCUUUUUCGGUAAUCCUGAAGUGAUUGGGUAGUACACAAAUGAAAUCAUGUUUUAGUAAUUUACAAAUGUAUCUUAUUCAAAAUUUUCCCAACUUUAGUCACCUGAUGGACAGUAAUUAUUGCAUAUGCAAGAAAACAUUAGUAAAUAUUCACAAAUAAUGUCUGUGAUGUUUCUCAUUUUCCAAGUCUGAUUCAUUUAAGAAUUCAGAAAAUGAAGGUGACAUUACGUAAAUAAUUUGUCAAUACGGCCAUUUUUUUAAACUUUUUCCUAAAUGUCAAUUUGAUGGCAAGCUUAAAGUCAUAUGUAAGUGAAGAUACAGUUUACAAAUAUUCUUCCUCUUGAAAAUAUUUAAAUAGAUUUAAAUCUUUAAUUUUAAAAUAUUUCAAUCCCAAGUGGAAAUUCAGCUACAGUAUGAAAUGGUAAAUCUGUAUGCUUAAACUCCAUCUUUCACAAAGUUAGUGUAUUGCUCUUAACAAAAUUUACAAUUUGGCCACAUUGUGUAAGAAGUUCAUGUAACCAUGGAGACUUGUUUCCUUCUUUGUGUUCAUAGUGAAUAAAAUAAUGUAUAAAUCUGAA